AGCCUGUACAGGUGCUGCAUGGCUGUCGUCAGCUCGUGUCGUGAGAUGUUCGGUUAAGUCCGCUAACGAGCGCAACCCUCGCUGUGUGUUACAAGUGUCACACGGAACUGCCGGUCAUAAACCGGAGGAAGGUGGGAUGACGUCAAGUCAGCAUGGCCUUUAUAUCCUGGGCUACACACACGCUACAAUGGGAAGGGACAAUAGGUUGCGAAGCCGCGAGGCGGAGCCAAUCCAGCAAAACUUCCCUCAGUUCAGAUUGCAGGCUGCAACUCGCCUGCAUGAAGUUGGAGUUGCUAGUAAACGCAGGUCAGCCAUACUGCGUUGAAUACGUUCCCGGGCUU
rnacentral:rRNA from 1 species